UCAAGCGAACAAGUGCAUGUGGUGGAUGCCUUGGCGAUCACAGGCGAUGAAGGACGCGGUAGCCUGCGAAAAGCCCCGGGGAGCUGGCAAACAAGCUUUGAUCCGGGGAUGUCCGAAUGGGGAAACCCACUCCGUAUGGAGUAUCCAUGACUGAAUACAUAGGUCAUGUGAAGCGAACGCGGUGAACUGAAACAUCUAAGUAACCGCAGGAAAAGAAAUCAACCGAGAUUCCCAAAGUAGUGGCGAGCGAAAUGGGAUGAGCCUUGUACUCUUUAUUCGUAUUGUUAGCCGAACGCUCUGGAAAGUGCGGCCAUAGCAGGUGAUAGCCCUGUAGGCGAAAACAGUAUGAAAGAACUAGGUGUACGACAAGUAGGGCGGGACACGUGAAAUCCUGUCUGAAGAUGGGGGGACCAUCCUCCAAGGCUAAAUACUCGUGAUCGACCGAUAGUGAACCAGUACCGUGAGGGAAAGGCGAAAAGAACCCCGGGAGGGGAGUGAAAUAGAUCCUGAAACCGCAUGCAUACAAACAGUCGGAGCCUCGUAAGGGGUGACGGCGUACCUUUUGUAUAAUGGGUCAGCGACUUACGUUCAGUAGCAAGCUUAACCGUAUAGGGCAGGCGUAGCGAAAGCGAGUCCGAAUAGGGCGUUCAGUUGCUGGGCGUAGACCCGAAACCAGGUGAUCUAUCCAUGGCCAGGAUGAAGGUGCGGUAACACGUACUGGAGGUCCGAACCCACUAACGUUGAAAAGUUAGGGGAUGAGCUGUGGAUAGGGGUGAAAGGCUAAACAAACCUGGAAAUAGCUGGUUCUCUCCGAAAACUAUUUAGGUAGUGCCUCGUGUCUCACCUUCGGGGGUAGAGCACUGUCAUGGUUGGGGGGUCUAUUGCAGAUUACCCCGCCAUAGCAAACUCCGAAUACCGAAGAGUGCAAUCACGGGAGACAGACAUCGGGUGCUAACGUCCGGUGUCAAGAGGGAAACAACCCAGACCGCCAGCUAAGGUCCCCAAAUAUGGCUAAGUGGGAAACGAAGUGGGAAGGCUAAAACAGUCAGGAGGUUGGCUUAGAAGCAGCCACCCUUUAAAGAAAGCGUAAUAGCUCACUGAUCGAGUCGUCCUGCGCGGAAGAUGUAACGGGGCUAAGCCAUAUACCGAAGCUGCGGAUGCGAGCUUGCUCGCAUGGUAGGAGAGCGUUCCGUAAGCCUGCGAAGGUGUCUUGUAAAGGAUGCUGGAGGUAUCGGAAGUGCGAAUGCUGACAUGAGUAGCGAUAAAGGGGGUGAAAGGCCCCCUCGCCGUAAGCCCAAGGUUUCCUACGCAACGUUCAUCGGCGUAGGGUGAGUCGGCCCCUAAGGCGAGGCAGAAAUGCGUAGCUGAUGGGAAGCAGGUCAAUAUUCCUGCACCGUCGUUAGAUGCGAUGGGGGGACGGAUCGCGGAAGGUUGUCCGGGUGUUGGACGUCCCGGUCGCUGCAUUGGAGAAGGCGCUUAGGCAAAUCCGGGCGCAGGAUUCAAGGGUGUGGCGCGAGCGACUUCGGUCGCGAAGCAAUUGGAAGUGGUUCCAAGAAAAGCCUCUAAGCUUCAGUCUAACGAUGACCGUACCGCAAACCGACACAGGUGGGCGAGAUGAGUAUUCUAAGGCGCUUGAGAGAACUCGGGAGAAGGAACUCGGCAAAUUGGUACCGUAACUUCGGGAUAAGGUACGCCCUUGUAGCUUGACCAGCCUGCGCUGGAAGGGUGAAGGGGUUGCAAUAAACUGGUGGCUGCGACUGUUUAAUAAAAACACAGCACUCUGCAAACACGAAAGUGGACGUAUAGGGUGUGACGCCUGCCCGGUGCCGGAAGAUUAAAUGAUGGGGUGCAAGCUCUUGAUUGAAGUCCCGGUAAACGGCGGCCGUAACUAUAACGGUCCUAAGGUAGCGAAAUUCCUUGUCGGGUAAGUUCCGACCUGCACGAAUGGCGUAACGAUGGCCACACUGUCUCCUCCCGAGACUCAGCGAAGUUGAAGUGUUUGUGAUGAUGCAAUCUACCCGCGGCUAGACGGAAAGACCCCAUGAACCUUUACUGUAGCUUUGCAUUGGACUUUGAACCGAUCUGUGUAGGAUAGGUGGGAGGCUAUGAAACCGGAACGCUAGUUUCGGUGGAGCCGUCCUUGAAAUACCACCCUGGUUUGUUUGAGGUUCUAACCUUGGUCCGUGAUCCGGAUCGGGGACAGUGCAUGGUAGGCAGUUUGACUGGGGCGGUCUCCUCCCAAAGGGUAACGGAGGAGUACGAAGGUACGCUAGGUACGGUCGGAAAUCGUGCUGAUAGUGCAAUGGCAUAAGCGUGCUUAACUGCGAGACCGACAAGUCGAGCAGGUGCGAAAGCAGGUCAUAGUGAUCCGGUGGUUCUGUAUGGAAGGGCCAUCGCUCAACGGAUAAAAGGUACUCUGGGGAUAACAGGCUGAUACCGCCCAAGAGUUCAUAUCGACGGCGGUGUUUGGCACCUCGAUGUCGGCUCAUCUCAUCCUGGGGCUGUAGCCGGUCCCAAGGGUAUGGCUGUUCGCCAUUUAAAGAGGUACGUGAGCUGGGUUUAAAACGUCGUGAGACAGUUUGGUCCCUAUCUGCCGUGGGCGUUGGAUAUUUGAAGGGGGCUGCUCCUAGUACGAGAGGACCGGAGUGGACGAACCUCUGGUGUACCGGUUGUGACGCCAGUCGCAUCGCCGGGUAGCUAUGUUCGGAAGAGAUAACCGCUGAAAGCAUCUAAGCGGGAAACUCGCCUUAAGAUGAGAUAUCCCUGGAGGCUUGACCUCCUUGAAGGGUCGUUCGAGACCAGGACGUUGAUAGGUCGGGUGUGUAAGCGCAGUAAUGCGUUCAGCUAACCGAUACUAAUUGCCCGUAAGGCUUGAUCCU
rnacentral:rRNA from 2 species